AUUGAACGCUGGCGGCAGGCUUAACACAUGCAAGUCGAGCGGAGAUGAGGUGCUUGCACCUUAUCUUAGCGGCGGACGGGUGAGUAAUGCUUAGGAAUCUGCCUAUUAGUGGGGGACAACAUUCCGAAAGGAAUGCUAAUACCGCAUACGUCCUACGGGAGAAAGCAGGGGAUCUUCGGACCUUGCGCUAAUAGAUGAGCCUAAGUCGGAUUAGCUAGUUGGUGGGGUAAAGGCCUACCAAGGCGACGAUCUGUAGCGGGUCUGAGAGGAUGAUCCGCCACACUGGGACUGAGACACGGCCCAGACUCCUACGGGAGGCAGCAGUGGGGAAUAUUGGACAAUGGGGGGAACCCUGAUCCAGCCAUGCCGCGUGUGUGAAGAAGGCCUUUUGGUUGUAAAGCACUUUAAGCGAGGAGGAGGCUACCGAGAUUAAUACUCUUGGAUAGUGGACGUUACUCGCAGAAUAAGCACCGGCUAACUCCGUGCCAGCAGCCGCAGUAAAAC
rnacentral:rRNA from 1 species